UCCUUAUUUUCCACCAGCUGACUGCCAGUUCUCAUUACGGAGCGGGUGUCUGUGUAAACGUGUGGCCCACGUGGGCGCAUGCAGGCCCACCUGGAGUAUUGCACGUUUCAUGUGCAUCUCCCAGUGUUUCUAUCCCGGUCUGCCAUUUCCUGGCAGUGUCCUCUGGGGCUAAUUAUGUUGGAGCCUCAGUUCGUCCAACUGUGGAAUGGAGGCGAGAAGUCAAUCUGUGUCACCAUGGAGAGUACAUGGAAUGAAGCAUGGAAAGGGGUGUUGCAGCAGUAAAGCCCUGUGUGCAUGUUGGUUAAAGCCAACAUUCAGUAAAUGUGAAACAAAUAAGACACUCAGCCACACGCGUGACCGGUGAACAUGUCCGUAUGAGUCUGUUGUCAAGUUUGAAGCGUCACCGCUUUCUUUCUGGGGAGUACAAUUCACCUUUGCUUACGUAUUGCUUUCACUUCUUACUUAUCAUCUGUGUUCACGCACAGUGUGCUCACCUAAAUCUAUAACAUCUCCGGAGAUGCAUUACUACCCAGUUUUGCCACCUUGUGGCAUUUAAUUUUACACCUCUUUACCAUUAGCUUCGUUUUAUAAAUUUGCUUUUGUGCGAUGACUCAUCCUUAACUUUCAUUAGUUAACUCUGCUUUUAAUUGCAUAAAAGAUUACUCUUUGAUUCGAUAUCUGUGCUGAUAGAUUAUUUUCUGCGAACCUCCGUUAACCAGUUAUGUGGUCCAAAGAUUCCCUUAGCGUUGGAUUUCCAUAGUGUUCUGCAUCUUAUGUCCACAGUGAUUUAACUCAGUGCUGUGGUCUGAACGUUUGUAGCCCCCCCCCCCCACUCCAGUUCAGACAGUGAAUGCUGAAUCCCUGACGUGAUAGUGCCAGGAGGUGGACCUUUGGGAGGUGAACAGGUGAUGAAGGUAGAACCCUCCCACCUGGGACCAGUGCCCUGAUAAAAGAGAGCCUGCACAGCUAGGUCACGCUCCCUACCUCGUGAGAACACAGCAAGAAGCAGGCUCUCAGCAGGCACUGACUGCACCUUGAUCUUGGAUGUCCCGGCCACCAGAAAUGUGAGAAAUCAAUGUCUGUUUGUCUAUAAGCUACCCGGUCUGUAGCUCCCAAAUGGACCAACACAGGAAAGUGGGGCGCUUCCGUAACACAUAUCUAUGCAUUCAGAAGCAGCUUUGGAACCAGGUAGCAGACAGAGUCUGGGGGACACUAGAGGUACAUGCUAGAAAGAGCCCCCGUUGCCAUGAAUGGACCUUUAGAGGUGAUUCUAAAGAGGACGUGGAAAAGAACGAGAAGAGCUGGAGAGAGAGCCGCCAUAUUCGUAAUGAAUCCCUAAGGGCCUGGAAACAGAAUCCGUAGGACUGUGCGUGGCACAGGCAUUCUGAUGAGGUCUCGGAAAGAAACAAGGACAUGUCCUCAAACGCUGUAGGAGCAAGGCCCUCCUUGCUAUGAGGGAGCAAAGAACCUGCCUGAACUGUGUUCUUGUCCCAGCGUUUUCUGGAAGGUUGAACUUGGAAGGGAUGAAAAUGAAUACUUGAUGAGUCCUCAUUCCAAGCAGAGCGUUGAAGGAGCAGUCUGGUUUCUCUUGACUGCUUAUAUAAAAUGCAAGAAGAGAGAAAUGACUUAAAGAUGGAAUUGCUUACCAAAGGCAAGGUAGAACUUAAAACUUUGGGACUUUCUCAGCCUGUCCUUAUUUGGAAAGAAUGACAGCCUCUUGGGAAAAGAGCUGGAAGAGGUGGCUAAACCAGUCAUCUGAUGAGGCUGUUGUCAGCCUUAUAAAGAGAAGCCAGGACUAUUGUCCCAAGACAAUGGAAGUAUGACCCCUGAGGCAUCUCAGAGAGGUCACAGGAGGCCUGCCCCUCUCAUGAGAAGCCCAGAGAAUACGGGCAAGUGUAGACACACCCUCACCUCUCACAGGCCAGUCCUCCCUGCCUUAGAGCCAUGGGAGAGGGCCCACCAUGGAGACCCCAGACAGAGCGCAGUGGGCAGAGGGUUCCAGCCCCAGGGAGCCUCUGGCGGGAGACUGAGGCACAGAGGAGGGGCCCAAGCCCUGCCCAGCAAAGCUUCAGGGGCAGGGCCCUGCCCCCAUGGGCUUGGAAGGCACAACAUCAAGCCACGGAGGACUACCCUCCAGCCUUCAAGUCUAGUGGCACUUGCCCCCUUGGGUUUCAGACUUGCUCUGAAUGCUUCUUCUUGCCUUCCUAUUUCUCCCUUUGGAAGUGCCUUCUCACCGCAUAUUUGGGAAAUGCAUAACCUGACUGAUCUAAUAGGUUCCCAGCUGGACAGCAGAUUGCCUCAGGAUGAACGGUACUUCAGGUCCCACCCAGAGUUGAGUUAGAUGCUAUUUGCGUGAGGCUUUGAGCUUUAAACUUUGGAGUCGAUGCUAGAACAACUUAAGACUUUUUUGGGUACGGGGAGGGGAUGAGUAUAUUUCGCAUGCAGGAAGGACAUGAAUUUGGGGGAGCCAGGGGUGAAAUGCUAGGUCUUGAAUGUUUCUGUCACCACAAUUCACGUUGAACCUAACUCCCGUGAGAUGAUAUUAGCAGGUGGGGCCUAUGGGGGUGAUUAGGUUAUGAGGGCCAAAUCCUCAUGAAUGAGAACAGUGCCCUCAUAAAGUGACCCCAAAGAGCACCCUGGCCCCUUCGGCCACAUGAGGACACAGUGGGAAGAUGGCUGUCCAUGAACCAGGAAGUGGGCUCUCACCAGACACCAGACCUGCUGAUGCCCUGUUCUUGGACUUUGUGCUCCCCAGAACUGUGAUAAAUGUGUAUUGUUUAGAAGUCCCCCAAUUUAUGGUAUUUCGUACAGCAGCCAGAGUUGACUAAGACACUCCGUGUUGGGGUUUUCCCCCAUUGUUUGUAUACCACUUCAGGUGUGCCUAAGUCACACCUGUGGUCUGCAGGUGUUAUUAUUUUGUGCAGAACUCAUUUGUGCUGAGUACGCCCCUCCCCCUAGUAGUGACUGAGCAGAGACAGGGAGGCAGUUGUGAAGUGUGCUACGAGGCCAGUAGGAGAUGAGCCCCAGAGGGAGGAUCCCUUUAUACAGUGAAACCAGAGCCCCGAGGGGCCCCCUCCGCCAAACACCUCCCUUGUUCUCAUCAACCAGGGACAUCCAUUUGGGGUGCCUCACCCUUUUUGGGGAUGAAUUGUGGGGGCAGAUAAAAAUGUAUCCUUGGAGGAUGAACUCCACUGAUCAUUUCUGUGGGUCGGAUGUGUUGAGGAGAUCAACACCACGUUGAGGUCAGUUUCUGCAAAGGCAUUUGGUACCUUGGUGAUGGAAAGCCUAGCCCUUGUCUUCGGUGGAGUGUGGGUGGGACCACUGACUUCUCAGUGCCUUAGCUUCUCUGUCAGUUGGAAUGCACACUCCCACCUACCCCACAAAUUGCUAUGCAGACCAGCUGCAGUCAUGUGUGGGGGGGCACUUACCAACUCAGGGGCCCUUGCUCUCCAGGCUCUUGUCCCGUGUACCAUAGGUCCUUAGCGAUUCCUUUACUAGCGGGCCCCGUUACACAUUAUCCCGGGAAUUCUGGGCUAUCUUUCUUCACAAGGAAACAUGCAGCCAGGAAAUGCAAGCACAUCUUAAUAUCAGCCUUCAGCAAAGUGUGACGAGGGAGGUAAAUCCUUUGUAUCUGAGAAAGUCCUAGGUCACUUCCUCAGCAGAGCAGACAUGAUUGUGAAGUUAACUGUGCCAUGGCGUGCUGGUGGUGACCGCUUGUGUGCAUUAGGACCAAGCGCUGAAUUCUUCACGUUGUAAAGCUGGUGGACGCAGGUAGUGUGAGCUGGUCAUUUGACCCAAGUGAAUGCUCGUGGAUCGACAGUCCCAGGAAGGCUUUCGUGCAGAACCGUGCCCCGCUUGCAAAGAACCACCCUCUCUCCAUCGUGCUGAAGUCCCGUGUUGCCGCACGCUUAGCGAGAAUGCUCUUACGGCAAGAUCUUUGCACAUUUCGCCUAGUGAAGGUGAACGAAGGCCUGAUGUAAGAUUGUUCGUUAUCCUGGGAAGCCUGGGAAGAUAAAUUUGACCAUGUCUUUGAAUUUCAGCUACACCAGCAGGUUCUGAAUAAAUAGCCAGCUCCUCAUUAAACUCCACAGCAAACUUUAGGCAUAAAUGAAACUUGUUGGGAAUUCAUUCUCGAAGGAAGCCAGGCCACAUAAUUUUCUAAACACCCCUUUUCUAUAACAUGUAAAAUGAAAAGAGCUAGUCAGAGCGUGCAUUGAAUAUGCACUUGGCGAUGCUUUGUGCGUUGCUAGAGGAUGUCACUAGCUUUUAUUUUUAUCAUUGUGUAUUUAGUAAGAAUGAGACAAAAAAGCAAAUCAACGUUCUGACCUCUGUGCACUGUUUAAAGUACUGAGUCCUGUGAUGGGCCAUGGGUGGCAAGACCCAGAUGUUACAUCCGUGUGUCAGCCACAACGCUAUUGACAUUUGGGGUCUGAUACUUGUCUGUGGUGGGGGCUGGCCUGUGCACUAAUAGGUGUGUAGAAGCAUCCCUUGACUCUACCCACUAGAUGCCAGUAGUAACCAUUCCCCCACCACCACACACACAAUUGUGACAAAUAAAACUGUCUCCAGGCAUCGCUAAAUGUCCCCAGGAAACAAAGACACUGUUCCCUUCACUGAGAACCUCUACUCUAUGUGUGUGGAGCUUUAUUGGUGAGAAAAAUUUCACUGGGAAAACAACGAGGUAAGACACGCUGUAUGGACAUGUUUAGACCUACUGUGUGUCCUAUUACGUGGCCUCAGAGUGUGAGUCUUCGCCUCUUUCCUUCGAACGUUCCAUUUGCUUGCAACAAAAUGGUGGCAAACAGACCACGAAUAAGACAGACCACUUAGUUCUCUACUGUGGAAGCUAAUUUUCCCACUGAACUUGGUCCGAUAUGCAAAUCAGCAGCCCACGUACAGGGAAAGUGAGUUAUGUCAGAAUAAAUACAUUGAUUUGGAGGACUGAUAGGUAUUUUCUAGUUCACUGCAGUCCUCAUAUCAUUUAGGAAGAUUCGUACUCUUAUCUGUAGGAAAGUAAUUGAAUAGCAUUUUUCAACCAAACACCGAAAACACUUGCAAGCAUUAACUUGUGAACUUUACAUUAUACUCUGACAUGGAGAGGGGGGAGGAAAAACACAUCAUUCUGAUUCUAAUGGUGGUGAUUUUUUUUUUUUUUUUGCUAGGCACAUAUGAUUAUUUAUGCAGCAUAAUGAAAUAAAUCGUUAUAUUUACAGAGUGUCUUUGGUUCUUUAAAGACCCUUAAGUACUGUAAUUUCACAAUAUGUCUGCUAUCCCCAGAGCGUUCCAGUGAUUGCCACAGCACGAUGUUGCUUUUUGCCAAAUUACUUCAUUAAAUAGCCACAGCGUGUCUACAAAACAUA